rnacentral:ncRNA from 1 species
GUGACUCUGGAGAAGCUCGACGAUCGGGUGCCGAAGGUGCAAGACGGAAGCGGGGACGCUUCCGCCAAUCUCUCAGGCAAAAGGACAGAGACG